rnacentral:lncRNA from 1 species
UAAACUUACCAUGGUGAUCUUGAUUGCAGGUUACGAUGAUUUUGUAUGAGGUGCUGAGGCUUUAUCCGCCGGUGGUAGCUCUUGGCCGGAGAGCCAGUGAGGAAACCAAGUUGGGGAAAUAUACCUUACCAGCCGGAGUUCAGCUUUCACUGUCAACUAUUGUAUUACAUCACGACACGAAAAUUUGGGGAGACGAUGCGAUGGAGUUCAAUCCAUGGAGAUUCAGUGAAGGAGUGGCCAAGGCACAAAAGGGUCCAGGUAUAUUUUCCCUUUUGGCUGGGGACCUCGAAUAUGUAUAGGGCAAGUGUUUGCAAUGCUGGAGGCGAAAAUGGCGAUGGCCGUGCUUCUAAGAAGCUUCUCGUUCGAGCUUUCUCCGGCGUAUACGCAUGCGCCUCUCAAUUUGAUUACUACUCAACCUCAGCAUGGUGCUCACCUGCUCCUGCACAAGCUCUAGAUUUUCAGCGUUGUAUAGCUAUUAUUGUUAUAGUUGUUUCAUAAUUCUUCAACAUAUAGCUCUUCUUGAUGCAUAAUAUAUUGUAUAGCCCUUUUGAUAUUUGGACUUUAUAUUGCCAUAAAAACAAUAGUUAUAAGUAUUUUUAUAUAUUUUUUAUUAGAGUUCGUAGAGUUUGUCUUUACUAUAGCUAUGCAUGUUUAAUCUCCGUGCCCAAAAUAAUGGGACAUUUGUAAUGAGACGAAGGGAGUAUAAUAUAUGGAUGAUUUGGUGCAAAUCUAGUUUGUGUGCAAAAUGUAUUUAAACCAAAGUUUGUGAUCUUACAUGCAUUGCAUUUAAUCCUUUAAAUAAAACUAAUAGUUCUAAUGUACUAUAAAAGUGACAAUUCUUAUUAAUAAGAUGAUAGUUAUUCUUAAAAAAUUAACAAUAACUCAAAUAAUAAUAUCAUUUUUUUAUGAUUAAAGUGAUACUUACUGAUAUAAAAAGUGAUAAUUGUCGUAUAUAAAAAUAAAUAGAUUAAAAUUCAAAUAAAAUUUCAUAUCAGGUCUGACAGAAUCCACCACGCUCGCGGCUCUAGAAUAAACAAAAGAGCAAAAUUCGCAAUUUAUCACCAAUUCAUAAUAGUAUUCCAUAAUAAGAUUUAAUUUGUCAUUUUCAUUCGUUCGUAAAAGUAUAUCGUAACAUAUUUUUAGUAAUAUUUUAAUAAUAAUUUGAUUAAUUUGUAGACUUAUUUCUUCUACUUAUUGUACUUGUAUUAGUUUUUUUUUUUUUUUUCAUUUUCUAAGUUCGUGGUUCUUUUUCUCCAUUUUAUUAAAUAAAUAAAAUAUAGUUUUUUUUAACUAUUCGUCCCAUUCCAGAUUUUAUUUUUGUGAACGUCUUAUGCCUUAUCAUUUUCACGUGUGUCUCGUAGAAGCCCAUAAUUCGAAGCUUUUGAUUUUUCGCAAAAAAUUAUGAGUCGUUUUAUCCAUAUACUUCAAGAAACUCAGAAUCCCACCCACACAACAAUCAACAUAUACUUCAAAUAGUAAGAGCUCAGUUAGCCUACCGAUCAAAACGAAAAAUGGAAGCUCUGUGUCAAGUAUUUGCGUCUGCUUUGGCGCUUGGCGGCGUUGAUAUACACAUGGAAAUUACUGAGUUGGGCCUACAUCACGCCCAAGAGGCUGGGAGAAGCCCUCAGGAAGCAGGGGUUCAAAGGUAAUGCCUACAAAUUGGUGUAUGGCGACUUGAAGGAACUGACGCAGUUGAGCAUGGAAGCCAGGAGCAAGCCCAUCAAUCUUGAUGAUGAUAUCAAGAAUAGAGUUGCGCCCUUUAUCGUCAACACUAUUCACAAACAUGGUAUGCUGUAUUUCUUGUUAUUUAUUAGAAUCUUGCUCUGAUUGGAUGUUGAGGUAGAGACAUGAGGGUUUGAUUAAUAUCUUUGAUUUCUAUGUCACCAUAUGUUGGAAAAAUGAAGUCUUGUAGCAUGAUUAGAAACGAAUUGGUUAAAUUGUUUAAGAAUUUAAGAUGGGGAGUGGAUAUGGUUGCAGUAUUACCAUGUGCAAUUCAAUGAUUUUCAGUGAGUUCAUAUCAAAUUUAGUUUUGUUAAGUGAUAAAUGAUGUCAGUGAGUUCAUUGAGUGAGCUUUCUUCACAAUUUUGUUGAAUGUAUCAAUUGAUGAAUGCUCAGCUAUCUUGAAUUCAAUUUGCAGCAUCAAAAUGAAUUUCUUGUUUUCUUAUUUGGGUAAAUAUCGAUUUAUCUAGGAAAUGAGUCGUUUGUUUGGCUUGGGCCAAGGCCUUCCAUUAUCCUUACUGAUCCAGAGCUAGUUAAGGAGGUGCUGAGCAAGAGUUAUCUGUACCUGAGGCCGGAGAACAGGAAUCCGAUGACGAAGCUGCUGCUACAAGGACUUGCGAGCUAUGAGAAAGAUGAAUGGGCCAAGCACAGGAAAAUCAUCAACCCUGCUUUCCAUCUUGAGAAAUUGAAGGUUUUCUAUUGCAAAAUCUUGUUUUGUGUUUUCUUAUAGUUGAGAAAUUGAAGUGUUUUUGGCCAAAUUAGAAGCAAUUUUUUGAAGAUUCUGUUAUAGGAUAAUGUGUUGAGAUAAGCAUGCUUUUUUCUUACUAUUGCUCGGGCGCAGCUCAUGAUUCCGGCCUUCUAUAUGAGUUGUGAUGAAGUUCUGAAAACGUGGGAAAAGAAUGUUUCAUCGGAAGGAUCUUAUGAGGUGGAUGUAUGGCCUUAUUUACAAAAUCUAACGGGCGAUGCAAUAUCAAGAACUUCAUUCGGUAGCAGCUACCAAGAAGGGAGGAGAAUAUUCGAGCUUCAAAGAGAACAGGUUGAGCACAUCAUCCAAGCUCUGGGCUCUGCAUACGUUCCGGGAUUGAGGUAAUUAAUUACAUUACGAAUCACCAAAACUAAAAUCUUUACUGCAAAAGUUAGAUCCCAUCAAGAUAGUAGUUCUAUGUAGCUACAUAGUGUAAUGAGCUUCUCUAUUUUCGUGUGCGAUGUGUUUUCACAAUGCUGUAGAUUCUUGCCCACCAAAAGGAACAGGAGAAUGAAACAAAUUGAAAGAGAAGUUCAGUCAACAAUUCGAGGCCUCAUUAGUAAAAGGAUGGAGGCUAUGAAGACGAGGGAGGCUAGACAUGAUGAAGACUUACUAAGUAUAUUGUUGGCGUCCAACUUCCAAGAAAUCGAGGAAGGUGGUAACAAGAGUUUCGGGAUGACCAUAGAUGCAGUAGUAGAGGAGUGCAAGCUGUUCUAUUUCGCUGGGCAGGAGACUACCUCCGUGUUGCUUGUUUGGACACUGGUUUUACUGAGUAGAUAUCCCGACUGGCAGACACGAGCCAGGGAAGAGGUCAUGCAAGUCAUUGGUAACCGAACGCCAGAUUUUGAUGGCCUGAAUCAGCUCAAGAUUGUAAGUAGCUUCGUAUCAAACAUGUUAAUCUUAUUGAGUAAACUUACCAUGAUGAUCUUGAUUGCAGGUUACGAUGAUUUUGCACGAGGUGCUGAGGCUUUAUCCACCGGUAAUAGCUCUUGGUCGGAGAACCAGCGAGGAAACCAAGUUGGGGAAAUAUACCUUACCAGCCGGAGUUCAGCUUUCACUGCAAAUUAUUGUAUUGCAUCACGACACGAAAACUUGGGGAGACGAUGCGAUGGAGUUCAAUCCACAGAGAUUCAGUGAAGGAGUGGCCAAGGCGCAGAAGGGUCCAGGUUUAUUUUACCCUUUUGGCUGGGGACCUCGAAUAUGUAUAGGGCAAGUGUUUGCAAUACUGGAGGCGAAAAUGGCGAUGGCCGUGCUUCUAAGAAGCUUCUCGUUCGAGCUUUCUCCGGCAUAUACGCAUGCGCCUCUCAGUUUGAUUACUACUCAACCUCAGCAUGGUGCUCACCUGCUCCUGCACAAGCUCUAGAUUUUCAGUGUUGUAUAGCUAUUAUUGUUGUAGUUGUUUCAUAAUUAUAUUCUUCAACACAUAGCUCUUCUUGAUGCAUAAUAUAUUGUAUAGCCCUAAACCCAAAUCCUAAACCCUUUUGAUAUUUGGACAUUAUAUUGCAAUAAAAACAAUAAAA